rnacentral:rRNA from 1 species
AACGAACGCUGGCGGCAGGCUAAACACAUGCAAGUCGAGCGCCCCGCAAGGGGAGCGGCAGACGGGUGAGUAACGCGUGGGAAUCUACCCAUCUCUACGGAAUAACGCAUGGAAACGUGUGCUAAUACCGUAUACGUCCUUCGGGAGAAAGAUUUAUCGGAGAUGGACGAGCCCGCGUUGGAUUAGCUAGUUGGUGGGGUAAAGGCCUACCAAGGCGACGAUCCAUAGCUGGUCUGAGAGGAUGAUCAGCCACACUGGGACUGAGACACGGCCCAGACUCCUACGGGAGGCAGCAGUGGGGAAUAUUGGACAAUGGGCGCAAGCCUGAUCCAGCCAUGCCGCGUGAGUGAUGAAGGCCCUAGGGUUGUAAAGCUCUUUCACCGGUGAAGAUAAUGACGGUAACCGGAGAAGAAGCCCCGGCUAACUUCGUGCCAGCAGCCGCCGUAAAAC